rnacentral:rRNA from 1 species
GAUGAACGCUGGCGGCAUGCCUAAGACAUGCAAGUCGAACGAAGGGACCCAAUGAGAUUUAUAGAAGUUUGGAGAGCUUGCUCAAAGAAUGGAAAUAAAUCAAUUUGGAUCAUCCCUUAGUGGCAAACGGGUGAGUAACACGUGGGUUACCUGCCUUCAAGAUGGGGAUAACAGUUGGAAACGAUUGCUAAUACCGAAUGUGAUCUACGGAUUAAAGAAGCCUUUAAAGCUUCGCUUGAAGAUGGGCCUGCGGUGCAUUAGCUAGUUGGUGAGGUAACGGCCCACAAGGCGACGAUGCAUAGCCGAACUGAGAGGUUAAUCGGCCACAUUGGGACUGAGACACGGCCCAAAAUCCUACGGGGANACAGCAGUUAGGAAUAUUCGUCAAUGGGGGAAACCCUGAACGAGCAAUGCCGCGUGAGUGAUGACGGUCCUCUGGAUUGUAAAACUCUGUUGUUUGGAAAGAACUGUAAGAAGAGGAAAUG